UGAAGAGCUAUGAUAAAGAAAAAGAUAUUGGAAUUUAUUUUAGAGAGUCAGAUUAGGUGAAAGCUGACAUAGAGGAAAAUAUGUAAUAUUCACUUUUAAGCUUGAUGGUAGAAUGUUAGUAGACUGUCACGGAUGCCACCGUUAUUUUAGGCUAGGGAUUUUUUGAUUCUGAAAAUGAGGUAAUCUUUAGAUUAUAAACUUAGGUGGUACCGCGAAUACACUUCGUCCUAUAU
rnacentral:ncRNA from 1 species